UGGUAGUGUCGUAUUUAUAAAAACACCGACAUAUUAACUUUAGAAGAAUUGAAUGAAAUAUUGUUAUUUUAUUGUUUUCUUUCUUAGGUUUAAUACGCAAUUGCUCUUUAAUUGCGCUUACUGCGAGCCGACACCUGCUCAAAUAGUGGACGAUUUGCUGCGAGCACUGCGCAGACAUUGCCAUCGCCAUCAUGGCGCCCGGCGUGUUUGGAGUUCGGAUAGAUCAGACUCUUCGUUGGCCUCGUUUUUAGGUGUUUGAUCCGUGACGUUUCGUCGAAAAAUCACAAGCGCGCAUGCCGUAGGUGUUUGCCUGGUUGCAAGAUCUUGCCGAUUUCAACGUUUUUCCACCUCUUCGGUUGGCGUACGCUGAACUGGACCCUCGCAGCAAGAAUGGCACGUGGGAAUUGACACCGCGAUCGUGGAACACAUGGCUGAUCUGCCUCGAAUAACUGCAAGCCGGCGCGUGCGUAGUGCCGUGGAGAACGAUCAGAAGUCGUGGACGACAAAGAAAAAACUUCAAAGGUUUGUUGUACAUGUUUUCCACGGCAACUGACAUAAACGUAAAAAAAAAUUGGAAUGGUCAAAUGCAUGUGUCAAGUUUAACCAUUUGUAGUGGGCUGUGGACAUGAAUUAAGCAUUGCUGCACACAAGACUGGCUUGCCCUCAGUUUAUGCCCAGUACCAAAUUUUUUGCUCUCAUUAUGACACCAUUUGUAAGAAAAGCCAGAACUUAUGUUCAAAACAGCGCAUAUUCAUGCUAUUCUUUUAUUCAGUUGCACGUGUGAGUCCUGCUGCUGGCCAUCAGUUAGCCGGUUAUCAGAAGAAAAGGGCACAGCCCAGUUUUGUACUGGUAUAUACCGUAUCGUUUGUGAUUAUGAUCAUGAUUUUUGUCUUACUGAAACAAGAAACUGAAAAAUGUAUGUUGGUGUUUCUGCUACAUCUCUAUGAAGCAGCAGAACCUGUUGCUCAGUCACUUGGUGCAUAUUAGCAACUGGCACCUUGUCUGGCUUCCCGAUACCUCCGCCUUUUUUUCAGUGCAUGUUGUUUUCAUCCUUUACCAGCAGUCAAGUAGUUUCACACAACCGAAAUGACCAACUAGCCCACUCUGUUUGUCAAGUAGGUUUUACUUCCAAACAAAUGUAGCACAUUUGUGAUAUGCACUGUUGCUCAAUGAUAUUCUUUUUGCAUGUGCUAGCUGUGUACACAUAUUACAUGAUCUUUUUUCUUUU